rfam:Triticum aestivum genome assembly, contig: Triticum_aestivum_CS42_TGACv1_scaffold_504211_6BL
UUUGUACUCCCUCCGUCCCAAAAUUCUUGUCUUAAAUUUGUCUAAAUACGGAUGUAUCUAGUUACAUUUUAGUGUUAGAUACAUCUGUAUCUAAACAAAUGUAAGACAAGAAUUUUGGGACGGAGGGAAUACUAC